rnacentral:snRNA from 1 species
GUGCUCGUUUCGGCAGCACAUAUACUAAAAUUGGAACGAUAUAGAGAAGAUUAGCAUGGCCCCUGUGCAAGGAUGACAUGCAAAUUCAUGAAGCAUUCCAUAUUUUU